ACUGCAUUUGAUCUCAGCAGUCCUAACACUACAACAACUUAUAUUAAAUUUUCACCAACUUGGUCAAAACACCUGGUUGAAAAUGGCUGACGACAGAUACCAGACAGCCACCCUCUCCAGAAAGAAGAGCCAAAAUUAGGAAUAAAAAUACCUCAAAUAGAAGAGAACACUAGAGUCCAAGGGUGAAUUCACAGCAAACACCAGAGGCAUAGAAAGAGAAGAAAGGAAGCAGCCAGCUUAACCAAGAUCAACCAAGAGCCCCGAGGGACUCCCUAUUACAGGAAAACGGUCCUGAAUUCCAGCAGAAUGGCUGAAGCCAACCAGUCUCAAGACCUCAACCAAGGAACCAACCAACUCUGCACAGGAAUGCGGUUUCUUCAUCUCCCUGUCCCAGGAAUUCACCCCUUGCUUCUUGACCAAUCAGCAAUCCCCACAUUUUAGCCCUACCUGUUCAGACCCUUUACAAGCUCCAUCUCCAAACCCUGGAGGGAGGAGGAUUUGAAGGUUCCUCCGUCUCAUUUGACUGCCCUACAAUUAUUAAACUCUUUCUCUACUGCAA